GACGAACGCUGGCGGCGUGCUUAACACAUGCAAGUCGAACGGAAAGGCCCUGCUUUUGUGGGGUGCUCGAGUGGCGAACGGGUGAGUAACACGUGAGUAACCUGCCCUUGACUUUGGGAUAACUUCAGGAAACUGGGGCUAAUACCGGAUAGGAGCUCCUGCUGCAUGGUGGGGGUUGGAAAGUUUCGGCGGUUGGGGAUGGACUCGCGGCUUAUCAGCUUGUUGGUGGGGUAGUGGCUUACCAAGGCUUUGACGGGUAGCCGGCCUGAGAGGGUGACCGGCGACAAUGCGACUGAGAUACGGCCCAGACUCCUACGGGAGGCAGCAGUGGGGAAUCUUGCACAACGGGCGCACGCCUGAGGCAGCAACUCUGCGUGCGUGAUGACGUCCUUUGGGUGGUAAACGGCUUCCGGCUGAGACGAAGCGUGAGUGACGGUACCUGGUAAAGAAGCCCCGGCUAACUACGUG
rnacentral:rRNA from 1 species